rnacentral:rRNA from 1 species
ACCGGAUGACCUCGGGAGAGCAAAGACUUGUCGCCCCGGGAGGGGCCCACGUGAUAUUACCUAGUUGGCGGGGUAACGGCCCACCAAGGGGGAGAUGUCUAGCGGGUGUGAGAGCACGACCCGCGCCACUGGCACUGAGACACUGGCCAGACACCCACGGGUGGCUGCAGAAUCG